rnacentral:rRNA from 2 species
CCUGAUUGAUUCUGUCAGCGCGAUAUGCUCAAGUAAAAGAUUAAGCCAUGCAUGCUUUGAUUCAUCAAUGAAAUUGCGUACGGCUCAUUAGAGCAGAUAUCACCUUGUUCGGAAUAUUAUAUGGAUAACUGCGGAAAUACUGGAGCUAAUACAUGUCAUACAUCCCCAACGUAAGGCGGGGUGCAAUUAUUAGAACAGACCAAACGUUUUCGGACGUUGUUUGUUGACUCUGAAUAAAGCAGUUUACUGUCAGUUUCGACUGACUCUAUCCGAAAAGGGUGUCUGCCCUUUCAACUAGAUGGUAGUUUAUUGGACUACCAUGGUUGUUACGGGUAACGGAGAAUAAGGGUUCGACUCCGGAGAGGGAGCCUUAGAAACGGCUACCACGUCCAAGGAAGGCAGCAGGCGCGAAACUUAUCCACUGUUGAGUAUGAGAUAGUGACUAAAAAUAUAAAGACUCAUCCUUUUGGAUGAGUUAUUUCAAUGAGUUGAAUACAAAUGAUUCUUCGAGUAGCAAGGAGAGGGCAAGUCUGGUGCCAGCAGCCGCGGUAAUUCCAGCUCUCCUAGUGUAUCUCGUUAUUGCUGCGGUUAAAAAGCUCGUAGUUGGAUCUAGGUUACGUGCUGCAGUUCGCAAUUUGCGUCAACUGUAGUCGUGACUUCUAAUUUGCUGGUUUGAGGUUGGGUUCGCCCUUCAACUGCCAGCAGGUUUACCUUGAAUAAAUCAGAGUGCUCAAAACAAGUGUUUGCUUGAAUAGCUCAUCAUGGAAUAAUGAAACAGGACUUCGGUUCUUUUUGUUGGUUCUAGAACUGAUUUAAUGGUUAAGAGGGACAAACCGGGGGCAUUCGUAUCAUUACGCGAGAGGUGAAAUUCGUGGACCGUAGUGAGACGCCCAACAGCGAAAGCAUUUGCCAAGAAUGUCUUCAUUAAUCAAGAACGAAAGUCAGAGGUUCGAAGGCGAUUAGAUACCGCCCUAGUUCUGACCGUAAACGAUGCCAUCUCGCGAUUCGGAGGGUUUUUGCCCUGCCGAGGAGCUAUCCGGAAACGAAAGUCUUUCGGUUCCGGGGGUAGUAUGGUUGCAAAGCUGAAACUUAAAGAAAUUGACGGAAGGGCACCACAAGGCGUGGAGCUUGCGGCUUAAUUUGACUCAACACGGGAAAACUCACCCGGUCCGGACACCAUUAGGACUGACAGAUUGAAAGCUCUUUCUCGAUUU